rnacentral:tRNA from 1 species
GGGGAUUUAGCUCAGUGGUAGAGCGCUUGCCUAGGAGCGCUUGCCUAGGAAGCGCAAGGCCCUGGGUUCGGUCCCCAGCUCCA